CUUCUUAAUUAUGUAUGCAUCGUUUGUAGCCUACACCUAGAGAAGGAUGACCUGUGCUCUUUGCUUAUAGCCAGAAGAAAGCUAAGAGAGUAGUCCAUGCGAUCAUAUUGACAUAAAUUACAUGUACAUAUUACAUAUAUAGUGUCUAAAUAAUCGUUUAGCUCGUACUUGAGUGUACGUGUAGUCAUUUUGAUUUCAUUGUUUAACAUUUUAAUAUGUAUUUUAGUUGUGAGUUUUGAUCAGCACAUUCACAUUCAUAAUUGGAUCAGACAAAGCUACGAAGAAAGGUCUACUGCGAGCAGCAUUAUCAUCCCUCUUAUAUUCGUACAUAAAGUCUACAGAUGGCCACCUUAGUCGUCUAAUUCCCGCUGCGAUUGAAUCUCC